rnacentral:rRNA from 1 species
GAUGAACGCUGGCGGCGUGCCUAAUACAUGCAAGUCGAGCGAACAGACGAGGAGCUUGCUCCUCUGACGUUAGCGGCGGACGGGUGAGUAACACGUGGAUAACCUACCUAUAAGACUGGGAUAACUUCGGGAAACCGGAGCUAAUACCGGAUAAUAUAUUGAACCGCAUGGUUCAAUAGUGAAAGACGGUUUUGCUGUCACUUAUAGAUGGAUCCGCGCCGCAUUAGCUAGUUGGUACGGUAACGGCUUACCAAGGCGACGAUGCGUAGCCGACCUGAGAGGGUGAUCGGCCACACUGGAGCUGAGACACGGUCCAGACUCCUACGGGAGGCAGCAGUAGGGAAUCUUCCGCAAUGGGCGAAAGCCUGACGGAGCAACGCCGCGUGAGUGAUGAAGGUCUUCGGCUCGUAAAACUCUGUUAUUAGGGAAGAACAAAUGUGUAAGUAACUAUGCACGUCUUGACGGUACCUAAUCAGAAGGCCACGGCUAACUACGU